AGAGAUGAACUUGAAGUGAGGAAAGUAGCCACUCCCUCCUCUGAUACCAACUCAGAGCCUCCCCCUCCUCCUCCCGCUGAAGAGCCAGACCCCAUCACUAACUAUUCAGAAACCAAGAGCUUUAACUCCUGCUCUGAUUUUUCACCACCUGAGACUAGACCAAACUCAUUCAUGCCUGAAGAGGAAACUACUCCGGUUCCAGCUGUCAAAGAGACGUUGGACAUCAAGUCUUUCAGACAGAGAGCAGAGGCCCUUGAAGGUCUCUUGGAACUAUCUGCGGAUUUGCUGGAGCAGAGUAGACUCGAAGAGCUAGCCAUCGUGUUGCAGCCCUUUGGGAAGAACAAAGUUUCGCCUAGAGAAACUGCUAUUUGGUUGGCAAAGAGCUUAAAAGGUAUGAUGAUCGAUGACAUCAAUCAUAACAACUGUGGCACUUCCAGGAAUUGUUCAUGAAGGUACGACUGUAUUAUACCACCAUCUUCAACCAAAACUCUCUCUUCUGUUACCUUUUUUCUUUUUUUUUCCUGUAACGUUUAAAUUUGCACAAAGCAAUAAUUCCUUCUUUUGUUUUAAAAAAAAAGAGAAAAGAAUCCAUUAUAAACCAUAUUUUUUUCAAAGAACUCAUCAUUUUCGAAAUCUUAAAAGUACAGCCACCAAUGUUAAAAAAAAAUGGUAAACCAUUUAAUAAAAAAGUCUCGGUGGUCACGUGUGUGAAAAUCUGAUGUGGUGCGCAUACACACAAGUGGUUAAAACUGUUUUGGAUAAAAAAGAGUUAUAGUGACUAGAUUCCACUGCAAGUAGUGCCCCAAAUCCAGAAAAAAAAUUUAAUUUUUUUUUGGAAAGUUAUAAUACCACUGUGCCGACAGAAAAUCGAACUUUCGACUUUUAACAUUAGUCUGUGAGAAGGGGAACCACUCAGAUACAAGUCUUUCUCAGCAGCCACCGAUGUUAGACGUAAUCAUCUACGUUAUAUAGAGAUUAUCAGGGAUUAUUGCUUGGUUCUUUUUCUUCUUCUCCAUGUUUCUGUUUCGUUUAAUAAUAACUUUUAUUAUUUAGGACAAACUGAUGACUUUGAGUGAUUAACUGUUAUUUACUUACGUGACUGUUUUCGGGCACAUAAAUAAAUUUAUAAUUGUUAAAUUAUUUCAUAAUUGAUAUGUUUGAAAAUAGAUCUCUUUUACAGACACUGGAUUUUCACCCGCACGCCUCUGUAGAUAUUUUAUUUAAUUUUUACGUUAGGUAUUGGAUGCUAUUUCUAAGACAAAAUAUUUCACAUUAAUUUAAAAUAUUUUUAAUUUAUAAAAUAUUUUACGAUAAAAUAUUUCACAUUAAUUUAAAAUAUUUUAGAUUAUAUCAUAUUUAGUUAGUUAAGAUUUUAUAUUAUGAUUUGUAAUAAAACAUUUAUUUUUUUAAUAUGAAGUAGUUUUAUAAAAAGAAUAUUCGUGUUUCAAAUAUUCUAUUAACGAUUUUAAUUGAAAAAUUGACAUUACUUUUAUAUAUGUGAUAGUAUAUAUAUGAAAAGAAUAUCGUUGUCAUUUUUAAUUUAGGUUUUCUAAUACUUAAUUGUUUAUCUACUAUAUGAUUUGUCAAUAAUAUAGAUUGUAUACGAAAGAUUGAUUUCUUUUUUUAGUUAUUUUGAUAGCAAUAAAUUAGGGAUACCUUAAAUUUGGAAUGUCUUUGAUAUUAGGAAUAUUUUGUGCAGUUAAUUUUAAGCUUUAGGUUUAAAAUAGAUUUAGGACAUAUUUAUUAAUCCAUAAAAGACAAAGGCAUUGGAGUGUAAAUAACUCGCAAAACUAAGGGUAUUUUUAUUUUGUACUCCUCUUUUAAUAGAUUAGAUUAGUAAAUUUAAAUUUAUUAACUAAUUAUCAAUAUAACAUUUUAAAACAUAAUAAUUUUAUUUAUUACUUUGAAUAAUUAUAUUUGUUAUUUUAAUCGUUUAUUAUAUCCGAGUGUAUCAUAUAACCAAAUCCAAUAUUUAUAACUAAUUUGACUUAUUUUUAUGAAAACAUUAUACCAAUAAUUUGUGAAUAGUUUACUUUAUAUAUUUAUAUAAAUUGAUGUGUGGUUUUUACUUUUUUAUUUAUUUCUAAUAAAUAUUGAAUUUUUUUUUAAUAUGUUAAUACAAAAUAUAUUAGGAAAUCUAUUGAAAUAUCUAUUUUGGCUAAGAUUUGACUAAAGAAAUCUAUUAUUCAAAUUAGGAAAUACAUUAAAUGAUUAAAUCUAUUAAUUAAAGGGAAAUUAUUUUUUUAGAGCAAAAAAAUAAUAACUAUUAUACUUUCUAAUCUCAUAUACAUAGUUAUCAUUUUUUUGCUCUAAAAAAUAAUUUUCCCUUUGAAGAGCCAGACCCCAUCACUAACUAUUCAGAAACCAAGAGCUUUAACUCCUGCUCUGAUUUUUCACCACCUGAGACUAGACCAAACUCAUUCAUGCCUGAAGAGGAAACUACUCCGGUUCCAGCUGUCAAAGAGACGUUGGACAUCAAGUCUUUCAGACAGAGAGCAGAGGCCCUUGAAGGUCUCUUGGAACUAUCUGCGGAUUUGCUGGAGCAGAGUAGACUCGAAGAGCUAGCCAUCGUGUUGCAGCCCUUUGGGAAGAACAAAGUUUCGCCUAGAGAAACUGCUAUUUGGUUGGCAAAGAGCUUAAAAGGUAUGAUGAUCGAUGACAUCAAUCAUAACAACUGUGGCACUUCCAGGAAUUGUUCAUGAAGGUACGACUGUAUUAUACCACCAUCUUCAACCAAAACUCUCUCUUCUGUUACCUUUUUUCUUUUUUUUUCCUGUAACGUUUAAAUUUGCACAAAGCAAUAAUUCCUUCUUUUGUUUUAAAAAAAAAGAGAAAAGAAUCCAUUAUAAACCAUAUUUUUUUCAAAGAAC
rnacentral:lncRNA from 1 species